UACGUAGGGUGCGAGCGUUAAUCGGAAUUACUGGGCGUAAAGCGUGCGCAGGCGGUUUUGUAAGCCAGAUGUGAAAUCCCCGGGCUUAACCUGGGAAUGGCAUUUGGGACUGCAAGGCUGGAGUUUGGCAGAGGAGACUGGAAUUCCCGGUGUAGCAGUGAAAUGCGCAGAUAUCAAGAGGAACACCGAUGGCGAAGGCAGGUCUCUGGGCCACUACUGACGCUGAGAAGCGAAAGCAUGGGGAGCGAACAGG
rnacentral:rRNA from 1 species